GAACUGAACUUCCCAUCAGCAUUUCGAAUUAAGUGUUAUGAACACUAAUUUCAGUUUAAAUUACGCAUUAUUAUCGCAAGUUUUUGUUUGUUGUGAAUUUGCUGAAGCAAUGGUCCAGGCACUGGCAGAGCGAGCCAUCUCUUCGUCUCAUUCGAGAUGAAAAUCAAACAUUAAAUUGGUAAGUAGAGAUCAAAAUGCGCCUAAGUACCUAACAUUAAAAUAAAACUUGUAGUAAUUGCAAAUGUUAUUAUCCCAUAUCGCAGGUGGUCGUCGUGAAGCAGGUGGAAAGAGCGCCUUGAAGAUGCAAUCAACAUGAAGAUGCACUGAAAACCUUUUACGCUGCAGGACUAUCAGACAGGCAGUUAUCCUGAAGCAGGUGGCAAGAGACUCCAUGAAGUAUGCUGAUGUCCGAUGCUUGCAGGAUGAUCCUUGAGGUGUUCUACUUUCCAUGGGGCAGAAAGACCUGCAUCUUAGAACAGUCUUUGGCAAACCUUUCUGGUUACACUUAAUUUUUUAUUUUUUCACAGGGUAGAUACUCUUCACAAAUACUCAGCAAAUUUCUAUGCUCCAUACAGAUUCACAUUUUGGUGACUGUUAAAAUGUGGCCUAAAUGAUGAGCUUUUAUAAAAGCAUUAUUUCUGUCAAGUACAUUAAGAUGACAAACAUGUCUGUUCAGUGUGCUUUUAAUUGUCCUUGAAGUAUUGUAAUUUUUUUUUUUUUUUAUUAAAUGUAGUAAUGCAGUAAAGUCAGUAUACAUCACCCAAAUAAAGUUGUUGAUGUGAAGUUUUUAAUGAUUUAUAACUUUAAUAAAGUCAAACACAAUAUAUAAACUGGAAUGUUUGAGUUUAGUCUCUUUGCCUUUAACGUAAUCUGUUGUAACACUAAUGAGCUGAUGGUAUUUCAGCCAUCUGUUCCAUAAGAAUGAAUCCUGACCUUAACACAUUCUGCACUCAAAGACCAGACCGUGAGUAAACAAGGACCUUCGUUUUACAACAUAAUUCACCAUUUUGGGCGCCGUGACAUCGGCCACAUCCUGCCGUGGGUGACAGUUAUUACACCUAUUGAGACUGUCCAGGGAUACCCGUGAGCAGCCUCAAAGGACAAACGAGAAACAUUCCACAACACACACAAGCACACACAUGCAAACAAACCUCUCUUAAUGUCUUUACCUUCGUCAUUUUAUUAAUAAGAUGUAUUUUGAAUAUGUUGUGUAUUGCAUAAAAUGGUUAAUCCUGUGUAAAUGGUUAAAGUUGCUGAAUGGGAAAUGUUUUAAGCAUGAAUGUUCUCAAAAAGAACCGUGGGUUGUAACCAGAGAUGGGAUCAAGUCACACAUGUGUAAGUCUUAACAUUCAAGUUUCAAGUAAGUCCCAAGU